rnacentral:lncRNA from 1 species
GAGAGUAUAAUAAAGAUCUAUCAAACCAGUUGAGAAAAGAGUCAAUGGACAGAUUGGAGGAGGAGAAAGAUUUGAAUUGGAACCAAAUUUGGUAGAACUUACAUUCGAUAAUGUAACAAAUGAUUAAUUGGGUGGGCCAGAGAAAAUAGUAAAUUUGUAGGAUUUUGUUAAGUAGUUUUUAGAUAGGAAUCAAUUGUGUGUUUGCGAGGAUGCUGCACAGUUAGGAGUGGCGCUAUGUAGAAUAGAUAUUAGUUCGUUUCUGUAAGAUAUUGGUAAAAUAGACUAAUAGUCCGUAGAAUAGUUAGUUCAAGAAGACAAAUGAUUGACUUAGUUAUUAAAAACAGUUAAUUAUAAGAUUACGGAUAAAAUCUGAAAAUCAGGAGUAAUUAUAUAGGAGUUGUAGAAGUUUGUUGGGAUACUAGAUUAUGAUAGUCAUGAGCCGGGGUAAGCUUGGUGUUACCUCUUUGUUUCUUUGUUUCUUUGUUGUUGAAGAAUAAUGGAUAGUUUCUGAAUAGUGAGAAGUGAAUCUGUGGAAUAAAUCAGAGAUUGAUUUAUGAGUUAUUGAUUAUGUAAUUGGAGUACUGUGUAAUUGAAUUAUAUGAGGAGUUAUUGGAAGAUUAUGAUUGUUGUUUAUUGAGAGGUGUGUGUGUUUCGACAGAGAAAGUAUGUGAUAACAAAAAUUAUGUGAAUUCAGAUUGGUUGGAGUGAAGUCUGUUAUUCUUGGUGUUGGAUGGAAAUUAUUAUAUUUUGAGUAGUAUUUUGAAUGUGCAAGAUUGUACACUAAUGUUAUUAGUUUAUGAAAGAGUAUUGUUAUUGGGAGAAAGCAUCAUAGUAUUUCUUAGUAUUUUAGCAGUGAAGAAUAUAGUUAAUUGUGUGAUUCUAACAAGUAAAAUUCAUGCACUUAGUCUUUUCCUAUGUUUGAAUUUUCUUAUACAGGUUUAUGCUGAAAGAAAUUGUAGAAUAAGUAAAAUGACAAUCACAUUGAUUUAAGUGUGUAAUGAUUUUGUACAAACUUUACAAAAUCAUGGUUGUUUUAGGUGAUUCUAGAAUUCAUGAAAUAAAAAGGAUAUAAUAUUUUGGAGAAUUUUGUGAAUUUGGUAGUAGAUCUAUAGUUCAAAAUUUGAAGACUUACGAGAAUAAUUCUUUAAAUUAUAUGUUGUCAGUUUGAGCUUGAUUGAAUGAUUGAAUUGAAGGUUAUUGAAUUUCAAGUAGGUUACGGUUUCAAAAGUUGGACUUUGAGAGGCAGUUAGGAUUUUUAAGAUUUUCAAAAAUUUGCUAAUUGAAUUGGAAUAAAAUUUAUAUAUAAAGGUAAUGUACUUGAUUUUCUAAAAAUAUAUAAAAUUUGAAAAUAAUUGAAUAGUAUAAGAAGGAGAUAUUGGCGCUAAAAGACCAACAUCAAGGUUGAAGAAGGAUGUCAAUUGACAUUCAAGUAAAUUUUGUAAUUUUUCUUCUAUUUAGUAAGUUUGAUUCUCUUCAAAUUUUAUGUGCUUUUUUCCAACUUAGUUUUUCAGAAGUAUGUAAAAUAUUUUAGCAAGAUCAAAAAUUUCAUCAAUAUAUAUUGAGGUUCUAUACUAUAGUAGAAUUAAGUUGACUUCAUAAGGUUUUGGUUAGGAUUUGAUUUAGGAUUAAAAUUGGAUUAGGAUUUAGGAAUUGGUUAGGAUUUGGUUAGGAUUUAGAAUUGAAUUAAGAUUUAGGAUUUGGUUAGGAUUUAAAAUUAGAUAAAGAUUUAGGAUUUGAUUUAGGAUUUAGAAUUUAAAAUUUUCUUAAAAUUUAGAAUUUAGGAUUUACUUAAAGUUUAGAGUUUGGUUUAAAAUUUAGGAUUUAGAGUUCUCUUAGAAUUUAGGAUUUAGGAUUUGCUUAGAAUUAAGAAUUUGGCUUAGGAUUUGAUUGAAGUCCAUUAGAAUUUCUACCAGGAUAGAAUUAGUAUUUGGUUGAGAUUUAUUUAAGAUAUAUUUGUGAUUAUUCUAAUAUUUCUUCAAGAUUUUAAAGGAUUCUUUUAAAGUUUAUUGAAGAUUUCUUUUGAAUUUCUUUAAGAUUUAUUUAUUAUUUUUUUUUUAUAAUAAUUUUUUAAAGAUUUCUUUUGAAUUUGAUUAAAGCUUACUUAGAAUUAUUAAGUUUUAAAUAGAAUUAUUUAAAUUUCUAUUAGAGUUAGGAUUUUGUUGUUGCAAUUUCUAUUCUACCUUC